GCACCAUUACCAAUGAGAGAGGUUGGUGUUUGAUGUCCACAUGCUGUGGCUAGGCGCUAGGCUUAGUGCUUUGCAUAGAUUAGCUCGUUUAAAUCCUCAGGAUGAGCUUCUGGGGGGGUGCUAUUUUUAUUCCUCUUUUGCAGACAAGAACGGGGAAGCCUGGAGAGCCUUCCAGAGACACACAGGCGAGGAGGGCAGCAGGAUCUGGGCCCAGGCACACAACGCGGGGGCCGGGAGUGGCAUUAAGACCCCAGGGAUUCUGGAUGGCUGCACCCUGUGGCCCCCCAGGCCCUGCCCGGGAGGGCAGCAUCCUGGAAGUGCGUUUCCUGGGACUCGCCACCCCUACGCGCUACCCAGUGCCGGAGACGCCACCACUGUCAGCGCAAGAGAGGAAAGGGUCCAUGAAGGCAAAAGCGCCCUACGACCAGAUAACCAUCUUUAACCAGGGGAGCACUUUCUUAUCAGGAGACAAUUCCUAAAGUGAUGGGUGGGCCCAGCCCAGAGAAGGACUUCCAAGAACUCAGGGACAGGGACACUGAGGGGCCAACAACUAAGCUGGCUCCAGGAAGAAAUCUGGCCAACCAAGCACCUGCCGCUGAGCCUCGGGCCCCAUCCACAGCCCGGGAGCAGGGGCAGGAGAGCCCAGGCACGGUCAGGUGAACGAGGGAGAAAGGAAAAGGCAGGAAGCAGCUAACAGCUCUACAAAGACAGAAGGAAACCGCGUGUCCCAGCAGUUUGAAGCCCCGACUGGUGUUGGAAGCACCCCCUUCAAAGCCCAGCUCUGUUGCCACCCAGCUGGGUGACCCUGGACGGUCACUCACCCUCUGAGUCUCAGCUGCCUCGUCUUUAAAGAGAGGAUGAUAGCAUCUAUUAAUACUUCGUGCUGUUGGAAGAGUUAGGUGAGAUAAUGCAAGAACUACUGAGUGCAAUGCCUGGCACAUAGUAGGUGCCCAAUAAAUAACUAGAAAGAGUAAGGUAGGGAGAGAGAAUGAGAGCACACUACAAGCAAAGUCGGGGGCGGAGGCUGUUGCCAAAAACCACUGCAGUGCAGAAUUUGCU